rnacentral:rRNA from 1 species
AUGCAAGUCGAAGAAGGAUUGGCCGGUGUUGCCGGCUGGCUCAAGUUCGAUCCCAUAGAUCAGGAGCUGAUCGAGCACCUUGAGGACAAAGUGAGUGCUGACAGCGCGAGAUCUCACCCUCUCAUCGAUUUGUUCAUACCAACCAUCGAUAGCGAGCACGACAUAUGCUACACCCAUCCUGAGAAACUUCCAGGUAUCACACUGAGUGGCCUAAGCAAGCAGUUCUUCCAGCGCAAUUCCAGGGCAUUCAAAAGGGGCACGUGGAUGUGUCGCAAGGUUUUGAUGCUGCACACCAACAAGAACUUCGACCAGCAGAGGACCAACUGGCUGAUGCACCAGUACCACAUCGGGGAUCUGGAGCAAGAGAAGGAGCGGGAGCUGGUCCUCAAGAUUUUCUACUAG